rnacentral:rRNA from 1 species
GAGUUUGAUCUUGGCUCAGAACGAACGCUGGCGGCAUGCCUAACACAUGCAAGUCGAACGAGAUCUUCGGAUCUAGUGGCGCACGGGUGCGUAACGCGUGGGAAUCUGCCCUUGGGUGCGGAAUAACUUCUCGAAAGGGAUGCUAAUACCGCAUAAUGUCGUAAGACCAAAGAUUUAUCGCCCAAGGAUGAGCCCGCGUAAGAUUAGCUAGUUGGUGGGGUAAAAGCCUACCAAGGCGACGAUCUUUAGCUGGUCUGAGAGGAUGAUCAGCCACACUGGGACUGAGACACGGCCCAGACUCCUACGGGAGGCAGCAGUGGGGAAUAUUGGACAAUGGGCGAAAGCCUGAUCCAGCAAUGCCGCGUGAGUGAUGAAGGCCCUAGGGUUGUAAAGCUCUUUUACCCGGAUGAUAAUGACAGUACCGGGAGAAUAAGCUCCGGCUAACUCCGUGCCAGCAGCCGCAGU